AGAGUUUGAUCCUGGCUCAGGACGAACGCUGGCGGCGUGCCUAACACAUGCAAGUCGAACGGAGUUGAAAGGAGCUUGCUUUUUUCAACUCAGUGGCGGACGGGUGAGUAACGCGUGAGUAACCUGCCUUUCAGAGGGGGAUAACGUUCUGAAAAGAACGCUAAUACCGCAUAAGAUUGUAGUUUCGCAUGGGACAGCAAUCAAAGGAGCAAUCCGCUGAAAGAUGGACUCGCGUCCGAUUAGAUAGUUGGCGGGGUAACGGCCCACCAAGUCGACGAUCGGUAGCCGGACUGAGAGGUUGAUCGGCCACAUUGGGACUGAGACACGGCCCAGACUCCUACGGGAGGCAGCAGUGAGGGAUAUUGGGCAAUGGGGGAAACCCUGACCCAGCAACGCCGCGUGAGGGAUGACGGUUUUCGGAUUGUAAACCUCUGUCCUCUGUGAAGAUAGUGACGGUAGCAGAGGAGGAAGCUCCGGCUAACUACGUGCCAGCAGCCGCGGUAAUACGUAGGGAGCAAGCGUUGUCCGGAUUUACUGGGUGUAAAGGGUGCGUAGGCGGAUUGGCAAGUCAGAAGUGAAAUCCAUGGGCUUAACCCAUGAACUGCUUUUGAAACUGUUAGUCUUGAGUGAAGUAGAGGUAGGCGGAAUUCCCGGUGUAGCGGUGAAAUGCGUAGAGAUCGGGAGGAACACCAGUGGCGAAGGCGGCCUACUGGGCUUUAACUGACGCUGAGGCACGAAAGCAUGGGUAGCAAACAGGAUUAGAUACCCUGGUAGUCCAUGCCGUAAACGAUGAUUACUAGGUGUUGGAGGAUUGACCCCUUCAGUGCCGCAGUUAACACAAUAAGUAAUCCACCUGGGGAGUACGACCGCAAGGUUGAAACUCAAAGGAAUUGACGGGGGCC
rnacentral:rRNA from 1 species